rnacentral:rRNA from 1 species
CAGUAGCCGCGGGAAUACAGAGGGUGCGAGCGUUAAUCGGAUUUACUGGGCGUAAAGCGUGCGUAGGCGGUGAGUUAAGUCUGCUGUGAAAUCCCCGGGCUCAACCUGGGAAUGGCAGUGGAUACUGGCUCGCUAGAGUGUGUCAGAGGAUGGUGGAAUUCCCGGUGUAGCGGUGAAAUGCGUAGAGAUCGGGAGGAACAUCAGUGGCGAAGGCGGCCAUCUGGGACAACACUGACGCUGAGGCACGAAAGCGUGGGGAGCAAACAGGAUUAGAUACCCCUGUAGUCCCUGUCUCUUAUAC